GUAAUGAUCAAUAAGGACAGGCGGGGGCAUUCGUAUUGCGACGUUAGAGGUGAAAUUCUUGGAUCGUCGCAAGACGCACUAGAGCGAAAGCAUUUGCCAAGUAUGUCUUAAUUGAUCAAGAACGAAAGUUAGAGGUUCGAAGGCGAUCAGAUACCGCCCUAGUUCUAACCAUAAACGAUGCCAGCCAGCGAUCCGCCGAUGUUCCUCCGAUGACUCGGCGGGGAGCUUCCCCCGGGAAACCAAAGCUUUUGGGUUCCGGGGGAAGUAUGGUUGCAAAGCUGAAACUUAAAGGAAUUGACGGAAGGGCACCACCAGGAGUGGAGCCUGCGGCUUAAUUUGACUCAACACGGGAAACCUCACCAGGCCCGGACAUUGGAAGGAUUGACAGAUCGAUAGCUCUUUCUCGAUUCAGUGGGUAGUGGUGCAUGGCCGUUCUUAGUUGGUGGACUGAUUUGUCUGGUUAAUUCCGAUAACGAACGAGACUCUAGCCUAUUAACUAGGCGUUGCCGGUAUAAACAGCUACCGGCGAGAUUUUUUCUUCUUAAGGGGACAG
rnacentral:rRNA from 1 species